rnacentral:rRNA from 1 species
UCAAUGUGGAUUAGUGGCGACGGGUGAGUAACACGUGGGCAAUCUGCCCUGCACUCUGGGACAAGCCCUGGAAACGGGGUCUAAUACCGGAUACGACGCACGGCCGCAUGGUCUGUGCGUGGAAAGCUCCGGCGGUGCAGGAUGAGCCCGCGGCCUAUCAGCUAGUUGGUGGGGUGAAGGCCUACCAAGGCGACGACGGGUAGCCGGCCUGAGAGGGCGACCGGCCACACUGGGACUGAGACACGGCCCAGACUCCUACGGGAGGCAGCAGUGGGGAAUAUUGCACAAUGGGCGAAAGCCUGAUGCAGCGACGCCGCGUGAGGGAUGAAUGCCUUCGGGUUGUAAACCUCUUUCAGCAGGGAAGAAGCGAGAGUGACGUUACCUGCAGAAGAAGCACCGGCUAACUACGUGCCAGCAGCCGCGGUAAUACGUAGGGUGCGAGCGUUGUCCGGAAUUAUUGGGCGUAAAGAGCUCGUAGGCGGCUUGUCACGUCGGAUGUGAAAGCUCGGGGCUUAACCCCGGGUCUGCAUUCGAUACGGGCAGGCUAGAGUUCGGUAGGGGAGAUCGGAAUUCCUGGUGUAGCGGUGAAAUGCGCAGAUAUCAGGAGGAACACCGGUGGCGAAGGCGGAUCUCUGGGCCGAUACUGACGCUGAGGAGCGAAAGCAUGGGGAGCGAACAGGAUUAGAUACCCUGGUAGUCCAUGCCGUAACGUUGGGAACUAGGUGUGGGCGACAUUCCACGUCGUCCGUGCCGCAGCUAACGCAUUAAGUUCCCCGCCUGGGGAGUACGGCCGCAAGGCUAAAACUCAAAGGGAA